AACAUUGGAUCACUACAGAAGUUCGCGGCUCAAUUGAUGUCCAAGCAUCUUCAGAUGCUAAAAUUAUAAAAAUAAUAAUUCUUGUCAGGAGAUGUGUUCUCUUUCUGAAGCUGUUUGGACCAGACGGACCUUUCCAGGUAGCCAUGCAACAUGGUUAAAUAGAGGUUUACUCUGUCUUCUACUGAUUUUACUGUGAUGUCCUGUUUACUUUCCUGGUCGUUAGACUCAGCUGCAUGAGCUAUAUCUUUUUCACACUAGAUGAGUCUUUAUCCAUUUCUUGAAUAAUGGACUA